rnacentral:rRNA from 1 species
AGUGAACGCUGGCGGUAGGCCUAACACAUGCAAGUCGAACGGCAGCACAGUAAGAGCUUGCUCUUACGGGUGGCGAGUGGCGGACGGGUGAGGAAUACAUCGGAAUCUACUUUUUCGUGGGGGAUAACGUAGGGAAACUUACGCUAAUACCGCAUACGACCUACGGGUGAAAGCAGGGGAUCUUCGGACCUUGCGCGAUUGAAUGAGCCGAUGUCGGAUUAGCUAGUUGGCGGGGUAAAGGCCCACCAAGGCGACGAUCCGUAGCUGGUCUGAGAGGAUGAUCAGCCACACUGGAACUGAGACACGGUACAGACUCCUACGGGAGGCAGCAGUGGGGAAUAUUGGACAAUGGGCGCAAGCCUGAUCCAGCAAUACCGCGUGGGUGAAGAAGGCCUUCGGGUUGUAAAGCCCUUUUGUUGGGAAAGAAAAGCAGCAGGUUAAUACCCCGCUGUUAUGACGGUACCCAAAGAAUAAGCACCGGCUAACUUCGUG